GUCUGCUUCAAGUGUUAAAUCUUGCACAUGAAUCACAAACACAUGGAAAAGGUCAAGUCAGUCGAAAUUCUGCUAUGUUGUCAUUCACAGGUUCUUCGUCAAGUAGUGAGAAUAGCCAAACUAGUGACCUUCCAGAAAUACAACAAGCCACACUGAAGUACAAGAUGGUGAUAAGUGGAAAAACCUUUAAUGCCCAUCAACAGAUACUGGAAAAAGUAAAGGCUUUAAAUGAGGAUCCAGAUUUGAAUUUGAUCGAACAGGAAGACAGCAAUCAGGAUUGCCAGGCCAUUAUUGUCUUCUGUCCCAUUGUUUCACGUAUGGGGACAGAUAUUGAUGCAGCCAUGACGCAAGUCAAAGGUUCUCAGCCUGUCAUUCUGGUUUUGAUGCAUCACGCACAUGAACCCAAGCAUGUAACUUUAAUGAAAAUACAGAAUAAUGUUUCUAAUGUUGUGUUACCUUUCCAUGUUUUCUACCAUGAGACAGUGCAUGGAUUGUUGCAGUGUCAGCAAAAUAACGAUGCCAUUUCUGAAAUUCGAAAGGCAUUACUGAAGCACGCAGAUAUCCAGACAAUUAAAGAUACAAGUGGAAAGACACAGAAUGUAGCUGCUAAAAGUAGUAAUCGUGGUGGGAGUUUUAUUUUUCGUUUUUGGUAAAUAAUGAUAGUGUAAAUUCAGAUAUUACAAGUCAAAGAAACUGUAUAUAUAUCCCAUGCAUUACUCUUUUGUAAUCUAAUUUUUUUUGCGCUGUAUCACUUCAGUAGUGUAGAUUGCUCUGACCAUUUGAGUAGGAAGCGAAAAUUUUAUGGUUUUGAUCAUGCAAAAUAAUUAUUUUGUACAUUGUGAAACAAAAGGACAGCACAGAAUCGUCUUUGUGACCUUUAUUUCAGUACUUUAAGAUAUUUCAGCUGUAAGGGUAGUUGCAGAGUCAACAGGUGUGAUCAUGAAGUGUCAAAGAAGAGGUCAGAGACACAGUAUAUGGGUGUAGAUAGUCAUAAAACUACUUUCAACUGUACCAACUGCUGUUUAUCUCUAAAAACAAAAGUGACAGCUACAGCUGUAUGUACACAGUGACAUCGUAAGUCCUUUGAUCAUUAAGAUAAAUAAUAAAUAUAUUUAUAUCAAAGUCAAACAUAUUGUGAUUAGUUUCACGGUUGCUAUGUAAAUCUGCAAGUUAUUUUCAUCUUUCAGAAAAA
ensembl:lncRNA